CCAUCAUAUCCGAAGAGAUCUUGGCUGCCUGUGUCCUGGUCAUUGAUAGUUCAGGGAAAGGGUACUGAAAGGCAUGUUCCCCGAGUUUAGGGGCAUCUACCCUGACCCCUGGAGCUUUCCUGCA
rnacentral:snoRNA from 1 species